ACGGGUGCGGAACACGUACGCAACCUUCCUUUAAGCGGAGAAUAGCCCAGGGAAACUUGGAUUAAUACUCCAUAAGAUUAUGGUGUGGCAUCACACAGUAAUUAAAGCUCCGGCACUUAAAGAUGGGCGUGCGGCUGAUUAGGUAGUUGGCGGGGUAACGGCCCACCAAGCCUACGAUCAGUAACUGGUGUGAGAGCACGACCAGUCACACGGGCACUGAGACACGGGCCCGACUCCUACGGGAGGCAGCAGUAAGGAAUAUUGGUCAAUGGACGCAAGUCUGAACCAGCCAUGCCGCGUGGAGGAUGAAGGCCCUCUGGGUUGUAAACUUCUUUUAUUUGGGAAGAAACCCAUCUUUUCUAAGGUGGUUGACGGUACCAGAUGAAUAAGCACCGGCUAACUCCGUGCCAGCAGCCGCGGUAAUACGGAGGGUGCAAGCGUUAUCCGGAUUCACUGGGUUUAAAGGGUGCGUAGGUGGGCAGGUAAGUCAGUGGUGAAAUCUCCGGGCUUAACCCGGAAACUGCCGUUGAUACUAUCUGUCUUGAAUGUAGUGGAGGUGAGCGGAAUAUGUCAUGUAGC
rnacentral:rRNA from 1 species